rnacentral:rRNA from 1 species
AGAGUUUGAUCCUGGCUCAGAUUGAACGCUGGCGGUAUGCUUAACACAUGCAAGUCGAACGGAAACGAUACUAGCUUGCUAGUAGGCGUCGAGUGGCGGACGGGUGAGUAACGCGUAGGAAUCUGCCUGAUAGUGGGGGAUAGCCCGGAGAAAUUCGGAUUAAUACCGCAUAAUCUAUUCGUAGUAAAGGAGGCCUCUAUUUAUAUGCUUUCGCUAUCAGAUGAGCCUGCGUAAGAUUAGCUUGUUGGUGAGGUAAAAGCUCACCAAGGCGACGAUCUUUAGCUGGUCUGAGAGGAUGAUCAGCCACAUCGGGACUGAGACACGGCCCGAACUCCUACGGGAGGCAGCAGUGGGGAAUAUUGGACAAUGGGCGCAAGCCUGAUCCAGCAAUACCGCGUGUGUGAAGAAGGCCUGAGGGUUGUAAAGCACUUUCAAUUGUGAAGAAAAGCUAAAGGCCAAUACCCUUUAGCCUUGACGUUAACUUUAGAAGAAGCACCGGCUAACUCCGUGCCAGCAGCCGCGGUAAUACGGAGGGUGCAAGCGUUAAUCGGAAUUACUGGGCGUAAAGCGUGCGUAGGUGGUUUGUUAAGUCAGAUGUGAAAGCCCCGGGCUUAACCUGGGAACUGCAUUUGAAACUGGUCAACUAGAGUAUGGUAGAGGAAAGUGGAAUUUCUGGUGUAGCGGUGAAAUGCGUAGAUAUCAGAAGGAACAUCAAUGGCGAAGGCAGCUUUCUGGACCAAUACUGACGCUGAGGUACGAAAGCGUGGGUAGCAAACAGGAUUAGAUACCCUGGUAGUCCACGCCGUAAACGAUGAUAACUAGCCGUUGGGGGGAUUUACCCCUUAGUGGCGAAGCUAACGCGUUAAGUUAUCCGCCUGGGGAGUACGGCCGCAAGGCUAAAACUCAAAGGAAUUGACGGGGACCCGCACAAGCGGUGGAGCAUGUGGUUUAAUUCGAUGCAACGCGAAGAACCUUACCUGGUCUUGACAUCCUGCGAACUUUCUAGAAAUAGAUUGGUGCCUUCGGGAACGCAGUGACAGGUGCUGCAUGGCUGUCGUCAGCUCGUGUCGUGAGAUGUUGGGUUAAGUCCCGUAACGAGCGCAACCCCUAUCCUUAUUUGCCAGCACAUUAUGGUGGGAACUAUAAGGAGACUGCCGGUGAUAAACCGGAGGAAGGCGGGGACGACGUCAAGUCAUCAUGGCCCUUACGACCAGGGCUACACACGUGCUACAAUGGGAAGUACAAAGAGUCGCGAAGCCGCGAGGUGUAGCUAAUCUCACAAAUCUUCUCGUAGUCCGGAUUGGAGUCUGCAACUCGACUCCAUGAAGUCGGAAUCGCUAGUAAUCGUAGAUCAGAAUGCUACGGUGAAUACGUUCCCGGGUCUUGUACACACCGCCCGUCAUACCAUGGGAGUGGGUUGCACCAGAAGUGGCUAGUCUAACUUUGUGAGGACGGUCACCACGGUGUGAUUCAUGACUGGGGUAAAGUCGUAACAAGGUAACC